CCCUUAGACGUUCUGGGCCGCACGCGCGCUACACUGACGAAGGCAACGAGCUUUCGAUCUUGCCCGAGAGGGUUGGAUAAUCUUUUUAAAGUGCAUCGUGAUGGGGAUAGAUUAUUGCAAUUAUUAAUCUUCAACGAGGAAUUCCUAGUAAGCGCGAGUCAUCAGCUCGUGCUGAUUACGUCCCUGCCCUUUGUACACACCGCCCGUCGCUCCUACCGAUUGAGUGUUCCGGUGAAUAAUUCGGACUGCGGCUGAUUGGGGACUCUUCAGUCGGCUGUGGAAAGUCUAGUGAACCUUAACACUUAGAGGAAGGAGAAGUCGUAACA
rnacentral:rRNA from 1 species